rnacentral:rRNA from 1 species
CCGUGAUAAAGUAGCAUAAUCACUCGUCACUUAAUUGGUGACUGGAAUGAAUGGUCAAACGAAUCUUCGUCUGUCUCUGAAAGAAUUUAGAUGAAUUUGAAAUGGUAGUGAAGAUACUAUCAAAAAAACUGUAAGACGAAAAGACCCUAUCGAGCUUUACUGGCAGCUUAUAUUACUCACAUACUAUAAAUAAUUAUAGUUAUUUACUAUAUGUAAGCUUAACAGUUUGGUUGGGGCGACCACCUCUAAAAACGUAUCAGAGGAAUUCUUAAGGUUAAUAAUAAUGUAACAAGCUUUACUGGAAAUCUACCAAUUAAUCAGUUACUAACAAGUAGGACAUAAUGACCCGUUUGUUAACUUACUUUAGCAAACGACAAUGAAAAAAGUUACCGUAGGGAUAACAGGGUAAUAUUUUCAAAGAGUUCAUAUCGAUGAAAAU